rnacentral:lncRNA from 1 species
GCCAAACUCUCUCUGGUAGGAGCAGUCCUGAUACCCACUGGUGAGUGCCAGGGAAGGAUGGGAGCCCCUCUCAGCACCCCGAUACAUUUACUAAGAACAGGCUUGUUUUAUGGGAGUAAAAAUGCUCUGACUGCAGUGUCUGCCCUUGCAGGUUUCCAGAGACAGAAAAAUGUUUCAGAAGGAUUUUCUUCCUCCCAAAACAACAGGACAGCAGAGCUUGACAGCCCCCAAACAUGCAGAGAUGGUGCCCAUGGCCGGUCUGUUCGUGCAGCCACUUUCACUGGCAGAUGAUCUUUCAACAGCUGCUGUGGUUGCCUCUCUGUCCACACAACAGAAAAAUACAAUACAGAAACCUUCUACUUUGACAUUUCCAUCAGGAAUUAACUUCCCUGUAUGCCUGCCCUUUGCUAACUUCCCACUUGUGUUGAGUUUGCUUCAAAGAGUAAACAGGGAGCCGUUCCCAGAAGCACAAGCUCUCUUCAUGAAAUCCACUCUACAAGCUAAAGAGUCUUUGACAACACAGGUGGCAAGGAGGUGGGGAAAAAAGCUUCUUUGCAAGGGUCAUAUUGAUUUUUUAAUAGAAAAGAAACAGAGACAUUGUUGCACUCAAAUUUCUCCAGAGGGCAGGACGCCGGUCUGGAGUUGA